GGCCUGGGUAUGUUUUCAUCAGUCUUCAUUGACAUCAGCUGCUGUAGGGUUGUUGUGGUCUCCGUAGUCGCCGUGUUUUCUCAUUAUUCGUAGUCAGAAUUAUUUGCCUCCGUCGCCGCCGCCGUCGUCGUCACCGCUACUACCAUUCACCACCACCAACGCCAUUGUCGCUCCAAACGCUUGCUACACUACCAACGCGGCAAGUAAACUUCCUCCGACACACAUACACUUACACACGUACUCGCGCACAUAUACAUAUGCAAACGCGAUUGCAGAAACGGCAUAGAACGCUUAACAGCGAGUAAUAUAUUUUUGUAUGAAGAAAAAAAAUCAAAAAAAAAGUAGUAACUAAUUAGAAAAAAAUACCGCAAAAUUGCCAACGUGGAGCUACGAAAAUAACGAAGCAGAAGAAGCAGUAAAAAUUAUUAAAUCCAGCGAAAAGCCAAACAAGUUUGUGCGCAGAAAAUUAAAUAGUAAAAUUAAACAUUCAAUACGUAAGACAACAACAGUAACAACAACAUCGAAGAAGAGUGGAAAACUAGCAUCCAACAAAGAACAGUGAUUAUUUAAAUUAGCCGUAUCUCAGACAUUUUAUAACUUUGGAUACCCUUGUUCUCGUAGCCGAUCUCCAAGAAGACUUUAAAAAAAACAUGUCUCUGGCAGUGGGGAAGAUGUUGCUGCUUAAAAUUUGAGCAAAUCCAAAAACUAAAAAUAUUUUCAAUAGCUGAAUACGGCCAAUGAUGAACUAGUCGAAAUUUUAGCUAACGCGUUCCCCAAAAAAGUAUUUUAUAUGCAAAAAAGUGGAGUGCAUAAUGGCAUUAAAUUCAAUUAAAAAAUCGAAGCUUUUCUCAAUAAUGGCUACAAAAAUAUCGACCUUUUGGACUCCACAUAUGGAUAUAUCCCCUUAAGUUAAACUAAACUUAAGUUAACUUAAAUUAACUAUUGGAGUUAAAUAGCAUUUAUAGCUAUCACUAUUUUUGAAGUUUCACGGAAUCUGAAAAUGGGAGAAGAAAUUGCGAAACUGUGGAAAAAAAUCUUAACUCCAUUG